UGGUGGGAUAGGUGGGGAGCUAGGCGUACCCUGUACCACAAAUCGUCUUUAUGGUGGGCUGAAUGCCUCAGGGCGGCGAAAGCGGCUUUUGGGUUCCUGUAUGCGGACGUAGAUGUCUCGCCCCUACAUGAUCCGGGUGUUGAGAACCGUUUCCGGAAGGAAACGGGGACCAAAUAACCGGGGGAACAGGUCAGGCCGGGAACGGAGCAGCCCUACCUGGAGCCAUGGAUGCUGUAGGGACUCGGGACGGAGGAAGUGUACAGAUUUGGCUCAAAAGUACGAGCGUCCACCUGAGGAUUCCCACUU
rnacentral:SRP_RNA from 1 species